CCUACGGGGGGCAGCAGUAGGGAAUCUUCCGCAAUGGACGAAAGUCUGACGGAGCAACGCCGCGUGAGCGAAGAAGGUCUUCGGAUCGUAAAGCUCUGUUGUUAGGGACGAACAAGUACGGGAGGAAAUCACCGUACCUUGACGGUACCUAACGAGGAAGCAACGGCUAACUACGUGCCAGCAGCCGCGGUAAUACGUAGGUGGCAAGCGUUAUCCGGAAUUAUUGGGCGUAAAGCGCGCGCUGGCGGUCUUUUAAGUCUGAUGUGAAAUCUUGCGGCUCAACCGCAGUCGGUCAUUGGCACCGGGGAGUCAUGAGUGCAGACGAGGAAAGCGGUAUUGCACGUGUAGAGGUGUCCUGCGUAGGGAUGUGGGGGAACACUAGUGGCGAAGGCGGGUUUGUUGUAUGUAACUGAUGCUGAGGCGCGAAAGCGUGGGAAGCAAACAGGAUUAGAGACGGGGGUAGUC
rnacentral:rRNA from 1 species